CAGAGGUGGCAAGCGUUGUUCGGAAUUACUGGGCGUAAAGGGCGCGUAGGCGGUCUAGCAAGUCCCGUGUGAAAUCCCUCGGCUCAACUGAGGAACUGCACGGGAAACUGCUUGGCUUGAGUUCGGGAGAGGGAAGCGGAAUUCCGGGUGUAGCGGUGAAAUGCGUAGAUAUCCGGAGGAACACCGGUGGCGAAGGCGGCUUCCUGGACCGACACUGACGCUGAGGCGCGAAAGCUAGGGGAGCAAACGGGAUUAGAUACCCCGGUAGUCCUAGCUGUAAACGAUGAGUGCUGGGUGUAGGGGGUAUUAACCCCCCCUGUGCCGAAGCUAACGCAUUAAGCACUCCGCCUGGGGAGUACGGUCGCAAGGCUG
rnacentral:rRNA from 1 species